UGGGGAAUAUUGCGCAAUGGGGGAAACCCUGACGCAGCGACGCCGCGUGCGGGAAGGAGGCCUUCGGGUCGUAAACCGCUUUCAGCAGGGAAGAAGCCUGACGGUACCUGCAGAAGAAGCCCCGGCUAACUACGUGCCAGCAGCCGCGGUAAUACGUAGGGGGCGAGCGUUAUCCGGAUUUAUUGGGUUUAAAGGGAGUGUAGGCGGUUGGUUAAGCGUGUUGUGAAAUGUAGAUGCUCAACAUCUGACUUGCAGCGCGAACUGGCUGACUUGAGUACACACAACGUAGGCGGAAUUCAUGGUGUAGCGGUGAAAUGCUUAGAUAUCAUGAAGAACUCCGAUUGCGAAGGCAGCUUACGGGAGUGUUACUGACGCUUAAGCUCGAAGGUGCGGGUAUCGAACAGG
rnacentral:rRNA from 1 species